UAUACUAAAUUCUCUGUCUAUAUCACUUUAUAGACUUCCUUUUAUCUGUCUAAUUCUCUUAUUAGACCUUCUCUAGUUCACUUACUAGAAAUACAUAUAUCUCUCUGUCUAGUUCCCUUACUAGACUAAUGUAACGGGACCUUAUGUAAAACUGAGUCACAGAAAACACAUAUACUAAAUAACCUUUCCUAAAAUGAUGUAGACUUACAAAACCAUGGGGAUCAUAGAUUCAGGGCGUCAAGAUAGACACAAGGAAUUACUACUCACCCAAAAUGGUUUUGGCUACAAUCCCACUUCUGACACCAAGCUGAAAGGUAAAUCUGCUACUCUGGUGACUCGGUCCCUCUGGUCACUAUUCUCCAACCCUCGAUUGUCAGCUGAAUAUUCAGGGAAGAUUUUUAUGGAAGCGUAUUAACCAGACACACACUUUUUGCUCUCCAUAAUCUUCUGAUCGUUUAUUCAAGAUUCGCUAUAUUUAUACUAUACUUGUCACGAAUAUUGGUUACAAAAGGUUACAAAAAGGUUACAAAAAGGUUACACAAGAUACAUAAAAGAGGAAGUAGUUUCUGCUGUUACAUUCAAUAAUCUAAUCUUACAAAAUAUCACAUAUACAUUGUGGUUAGGCAUUUCCUGAUACAUAGAAACUGUCAUAGCUUGUGACUUCCUUUCAAUUAUGUUUUGCAAGCAGUUCUGAAAUACUGACAGAUUAAUUGUUUAACCCCUUAAGGACCAGAUUUCUG